rnacentral:rRNA from 1 species
UACGUAGGGAGCAAGCGUUGUCCGGAAUCAUUGGGCGUAAAGAGCUCGUAGGCGGCUUGGUAAGUCGGAUGUGAAACCUCCAGGCUCAACCUGGAGUCGCCAUCCGAUACUGCCAUAGCUAGAGUCCGGUAGGGGCCCACGGAACUCCUGGUGUGAGCGGUGAAAUGCGCAGAGUAUACAGGAAGAACACCGGUGGCGAAGGCGGUGGGCUGGGCCGGCACUGACGCUGAGGAGCGAAAGCGUGGGGAGCGAACAGG